GGGUAUGUUUUGGGAUGUCUAAUUAUAGGUGCAAGGGCUCCAAUUGUUGGCGCCUAAUGGGCUUCCUAAUGUAAGUUGGAUAACUUAAGUUAAUAGGAAUCAUAAUGCAAGUAGGACUUGUAUUAUGAGUUUGAAUAGGAUUUAAUCCUUAUGCCUACUUAAAGGGACCUCCCCUAAGGUCCUUAGAGCAUCAAAACCAAUAGUCCCUCACACCCAAAGGCUCUCCCCGCUCCCUCUCUUACUCUCCCUUUCUCUCUUCUUAGGUGUUCUAUACAUCCCUUCCUUGGGACGUGCGUCCCAAGGAGUUUCAUGUCCAAAGAAGUUUGGGUGCCUCUUUCUUGUUGGUUUCUAAUAUCUGAUAGUAGUACAUAGCAAGAAAAAACUCUAGAGAAGAGGAAAAGAAGAAGAUCAAGAAGAAAAAUCAAGUGUUGAUCGUGAUCCAGAUUUUAUUCAGAUUCAGCAGGCUGAAUUUUGGAGAACC
rnacentral:lncRNA from 1 species